rnacentral:rRNA from 1 species
CACGGGGGGAGCAAGCGUUGUUCGGAAUCACUGGGCGUAAAGCGCACGUAGGCGGAUUGCUAAGUCAGGGGUGAAAUCCUGGAGCUCAACUCCAGAACUGCCUUUGAUACUGGAGGGCUCGAGUCCGGAAGAGGUGAGUGGAACUCCGAGUGUAGAGGUGAAAUUCGUAGAUAUUCGGAAGAACACCAGUGGCGAAGGCGGCUCACUGGUCCGGUACUGACGCUGAUGUGCGAAAAGCGUGGGGGAGCAAACAGG